UCAGGUAAGGUGGAUCUUUGGAGUCCACCAUCUUCUUGGUUUGGUGGCUUUCUGAAUAAAGCCGCUAUUCCUUGUCCUAGCAACUCCUCUCUCCAUUUAUUGGCCUGCCUUGCCUUGCCACUCAUGGCGAGCUGGCAGUUGGGGAUUUUGCGGGUAAGGCCCUAGCAGCUGGCAAGACCACUUGCCCUGAGGCUCUUCCUUCAAAACUCCCCAAAGCCUCAUUGGUUGUUCCAGCGCUGGGUAGUUGGAGCAAGGAAUCAAUAUUUGGGAGCAGACAGGCUCCAAACAGUAAGAAAAACUUUACCUCCCCCAGUUCAAAGAGUGAAUUUAAUUGGAGAAGUGAGAAAACACAGAAUUAAAGGAAAACAGUCAAGCAAGACAAAUCGUGGGUCCAUUAGACAAAUGCAACGACCUUUAGCUCCCCAUCAGAGGCCAUAGAUAACAAUGAGUCAAAGUUUUUGAGCUGUUCAGCAGAUGCUGAAAGCCCCAGCAGGUGGAAGAGUUAACUGUAUGCUGCCCACAAGCACAAAAAACCCAGAAAUGGGUUCAGGGAACUAAUCUGCCAGCCAAGAUGAUGAAGCCGGGAGCAGCCGUGCUGCGGAGCUGAGUCGGUGCCCUGCGGAGCGCAGAGACAGCGGCCGGGGGCGGCGAAUUCUUCACCACUGAGCCACCUGGGACAUGUGGAAGCCCAAGACAAUGGAUUACCAAAUGACUAAUUUGAACUGGUGUCAGGGAAUAGAAUAUGAGUUAUCUUCAAGUAAUUGAAGGGCUAUCAUGUAG